UAUCCUGUAUGAGUUCAUCUCAGGUGGUACACUACUUACCCAUCUACAGACUUCAGGGGUGCAAUCUCAACCUACGUACAGUAAUCUCAAGCCAAACGGUGUUCGUAUUGCUGAGGGUACACUUCUUAACUUGGCUUGGCAGGUUGCUAAAGGAAUGCAGUUUCUUGCAUCUAAACAGAUUAUUCAUGGAACUCUCUGUGCUCACAAUGUGUUACUAGGAGAAAGAAAACAAUGCAAGAUAUCAGAUUAUGGACUAUUCAGUUCACUGUUUUCUG
rnacentral:misc_RNA from 1 species